rnacentral:rRNA from 1 species
AAUAGAUACCCCGGUGGUCCACGCCGUAAACGAUGAGUGCUAAGUGUUAGGGGGUUUCCGCCCCUUAGUGCUGCAGCUAACGCAUUAAGCACUCCGCCUGGGGAGUACGGUCGCAAGACUGAAACUCAAAGGAAUUGACGGGGGCCCGCACAAGCGGUGGAGCAUGUGGUUUAAUUCGAAGCAACGCGAAGAACCUUACCAGGUCUUGACAUCCCAUUGACCGCUAUGGAGACAUAGCUUUCCCUUCGGGGACAGUGGUGACAGGUGGUGCAUGGUUGUCGUCAGCUCGUGUCGUGAGAUGUUGGGUUAAGUCCCGCAACGAGCGCAACCCUUGUUCUUAGUUGCCAUCAUUUAGUUGGGCACUCUAAGGAGACUGCCGGUGACAAACCGGAGGAAGGUGGGGAUGACGUCAAAUCAUCAUGCCCCUUAUGACCUGGGCUACACACGUGCUACAAUGGACGGUACAAACGGUUGCCAACCCGCGAGGGGGAGCUAAUCCGAUAAAACCGUUCUCAGUUCGGAUUGUAGGCUGCAACUCGCCUAC